CCGGACCCGCGCACCCACAAGGUGCAAACCUCCGGUCGAUCCUGAAAAAAACGGUGUGAAAAAAAUCUACGAAAAAAAACCUACGAAAAUUAACCAGUCCCUCGCACGUACGAGCGAUUCCUCCUGCCCUCGAAGCACUCGCACGCACGAGUCGUUCGCCGCCGCCCCGUCUCUGAUCUCCCUGCCGCCGCCCCGUCUCCGAUCUCCCUGCCGCCGACCCUUGCCGCCGCCCCGUCUCCGAUCUCCCUUCGCCGCCGCCCUAGCACAUCAAGCCGCCGCCGAUCCAUGCGCUACCUCGUCGGGAGCCAUCGAUCUUCUUCAGGAGACGCCGCCGAUCCCAUUGAUGAGCCGCCGCCGACCAUGUCCCCUGAGCCGCUGGCGCUGGCCAGGCUCCAGACCGAUGGACACGCCAGCUCGCCGCUCCUCGGGGCCAGCCCCUCCCGCCGCGCCGGAUCACGCAUCGGCUUGGGGACCCCUCGGGGAUGCCGCCGGUGCAGGAGGCGUCCGCGACAGUGUGGGCUGGGGACCGAGCGGCUGGGCAUGCCGCGUCCAGGGCUUGGUCGGGCUGGCGUGAGCCGCCGUCGAUGAAAUUUUGGCUGAUUGGCUGCACGUCGCUUCGGAUUUGGUACUAUCCCCAUCUCUCUCUGAGACACACACACCACUUUCUCUCCGUCUCUCUCUCUCUCUCUCUCUCUCUCUCUCUCUCUCACAGUGUCUGCUUGUGCUGGCUGACGAAGGUGCAUGUGUGUGUGCGCGCGCACGCGUGUGAUGUGCCGCUGACCGCUUUUAUGUGUGCUUGUGGCGAUGCUGCCUGUGAGUGUGAUUUUUGCCGCUAUCCUGCAUGAUUCUUGUGCCUCGAGGAUGAGAGGAAGCCACCCAGAAAAUGGCCAGAAGGAAGCACCAUAUGUGUAGGUGUGCUCAUGUGUGUUAGAAGUUAUAAGAUGAUGCAUACUCUGACAGUGCUUUGGCCACAUAAAAGGUAAAUCCAUCAUUGUGGAGAUGUCAAAGUCAUCACAAAAACAAGCAUCUGAACUUUCUUUUUGGGAUGAAACAAAUAUGCAGACUAACAGUAUCAUGUUUUUUUGACAUCAACCAAUAUCAUGGGUUGGUUCAGGACUUCAGGUAUAUAUCACCAGCAUAAAAAUCUAUUAACAUAGCAAUUGUUACUUUUUUUAGCUACUCUCAAAUGCUUCUCUAUUUUAAAUACCUAUUAAAUGUUGUCACAAUCACCCUAUUUCAACCGCACUGAGGGCUGUGGCAGGAAGGAGCCCACCGUCGGCAUCGCCCAUGGCCAAGCAGACCGAGGACCCAACGCCCUCAAGACAAGGACUCGGCGGAUGAUUCCUCCUUGACUUUCUACCAGCUGCGCCCCUGACUGUGUCCACAGCGUCCUGACACCAUGUUCAAGACCAAGUUCUAACCCAGAUAUCCAAUCUCCCUCCAUGGAUCUUGCCUCUCAUUGACCAAGAGCAACAAUUCAACUCAAUUUCAGAUUUACAAAAGAGAUGGACCUAGAGCAAACAACCUAUGAGGCUUGGUUCGUGUACAUCGACAACGUUGUAUGGUGGUGAAGCUUCUUCACAUCCCCUGACCAGACGCUGCAUGCUCUGCUCGUUGAAGGUGCCCGCUGUUUGUGUUUGGAUGUUGUUGCUGGCGUAUGUCAAGUUGAGGAGGCACUCAUUAUUCCGAGCUCGGCUCUUCCUGAUUAGCUUGUCACCACGCUCGCAACUGUGGAAUCAUAGGCGCGAAAUGCUUUAGUGUGUCCGCCAAAGCCCGUGUCAUCGAGCAGAAACUAGCCUCGCUCAACCAAAUUGCACCUGUCAUCGGUGCACGGCGAGGGCACUCGGAAUCUGGCGUUUGCUCCGUUGCGAAACAUGCAAUGUUGAGAGAAAAGAGGGAGACUGCACCAGAGGAAAGCGAAGCAUGGUAGCAGGUCUGAAGAUGAGAGCAUGAUGUUCUCUUUUAGCAAAUGAUCCAUGUGUCUAUUUUUUCGUCCCGUUGCAACGCACGGGGACCUUUGAUUUGAUUUAGUUUUAUCUUCUACUGUAGAUAGGGAACUAUGGACACUAAAUAUCCAUUUCUUAGGUGUCAACCUGGUACAUUAGGCUGUAUAGUACAUGGCAGAGUUCUUCCAGCUACUAAUUCAGGUAAUCUGAUUCAUGUCACUUUGCUUUAAGCAUAGUUAACUAACAGUAAGGACAUCACAUAUGCACUUUCCCUACAACCUAUGUCGAGGGUACCUACUGUAAUGAUUUUGCAUAUGAACUUGCUAAAAAUAGUACUGCUACCUUGAGUUUGUCAAAGAAUAAUGCCACUAAAUUGGCAGCAAUUUUGGAUCUGUCAUCUUUUUCCCCACUAGGGCGCUUCCUUAAAAUUUACUCCCUCCGCCUGAAAAUACUUGUCAAAGAAAUGAAUGUAUCUAGGCAUAUUGUAGUUUUAGAUACAUUCAUAUUUAUUAAUUUCAACGACAAGUAUUUCCGGACAGAGGGAGUAUUACUUUAGAGACAUGAUGAUCCUCAAGUUAACACACUUGAUUCUUACUGCUGCUUAUGCAUCCCUGAACUUCAGUUAAAUUUAUGAUUAUCUGGAUAUUUCCUAUAAUUUAUCAAGUGUAGGGUUCUUGAAAUAAGGACAGACAUUUGUUUCACCUUUUGUAGUUCAUCAUAAUAGCAUAUGAUUUUAAAAAAUGGAAAAUUGCCAAGUACAGUUCUGAAGCGGAGAGUUACUUAUGUAUUUUUUUAUUCAUGAAUGACAUGAUCAAGGAGUCAGGUGUGAAAAUGCUUUAUAAAUCAGGUGAGACAACAUGCUAAAAUUUUGUGGCGAUUAGUGAAGGAAAGAACUAUGUACUCUUGUUUCAAGUGGACUUCAUCGCUUUAUUGUUAGAUUCAGCUUCACCUCCCAUUGUUAUAUUCUUUACUUGAAUAUAUCAGUGCCCCCCCCCCCCCCCCCAAUUUAUGUUGUUGAAAAUGGCAAUCGCUUGAUCUUUGAAUCAUGCAGCUGCCUAUCUACAAAUCAUAAAUGAACAGAUAAAACGUACUGAUAUAUCCAAAUAUUGUGUAUCCUGCUUGUAGAAUUUGUUCCUAUUUAUCCUUUUGUCAUUUUUACAUAUGGGCAUCUGGUGUUUGCGGCAUCUCAAAGUUUACCUUUUCAAAUUGAUACUACCUCCGUCCCAUAAUAUAAGAGCGUUUUUUACACUAACGUAAUGUCAAAAACGCUCUUAUAUUAUGGGACGGAGGGAGUAUAUUGUACAUGUCAGGAUUUUGUUUUGUGCCUCAAAGAUUGCCCUUUUACAAGUAAUAUACUGUGUAUUUUGCUGAUGCUUUGUUGCUGAGAUAUAUUCUAAGUGAUAAUCAUACAUUUCGUGUUUGCUCCUCUAUGUUAGGAGAGGAAUGAAAAUAUGGUUAAAUUCUAAAUGUGAUAUUAUGGAGCAUGAUCGAAAUAUCACAUCUUAUUAAUCCCUUUCU